ACAACACCAAUGCACAAUAAAUAACCAGACAAAAGUUCUUCCAAUAAGCCAAAUUUACCACACUAAAUUCAAAUAGACUUAGACACCAGGUCAAAACAAAUGCAUAAAUGCAAAAAAAACGUAUUUCUGAGUGAAAGUGAGACAAAGUAUGUCAAAAGCAAAAAGUCAGUGAAAGAAGUCCACAAUAGUUCCAUGAAAGGAAAAAAACGGAAGACAAACAAAAUAUCAUUAAUAGAAAAAAAGUUCUUCAUCCAAUUCCAAAAAGAAAGUCUCUAUUUUGCCAAAGCACAGAAGAGCCAUAUCAGUUAACAGAAGAAUUAAAUCAAAAUCAGAAGUGCCAACCAAAACUAAGAUUUUCCAAGCAUCUAUUGUAAGAGCACCAUGACGAAUAAAUCCUACAUAAACUAUCUACAUGAUUUACAGACGAUCCAAUCAGUAGUGGCAGUUCACAUAUGAAAUAAGAAUUAAGAGAAGCAAGCCAGAACUAAUGUGGACCUCCUGCUUUCCAGACUCGCAAACAAUUGCUACAGCCGAAGAAAAUCUACAGUUAUUGACCUUCCAAAAACAACUGAAUACUCAGAUAAUGCCAAGAAUCAAGAUCUUGUCCAAUCAAAUCAUUUUUCUAAUGUCCAGCUAAAAACAAACCAUCGCGGAUUGAAGGACACUCCAUAUCGAAGUUAAUUCUGACCUAAACAAAAAAAGAACUGAAAACAUCCUCUUUGAUGAAAAUUGAAGGAACUAGAAUCAAUAAUAUUUGAAGCAUUCACUGUCCAGAAUCCACGAAAUGGGAAGUAUCAACAAUGCUCGAAAUUUGUCAGCGAUGAAGAAUAAACGAAGGAGCUGAGGAACACACAAAUCGAUGCACCUGGCUACAGAUUCGAAAUCGGCAAGACAACUGGGAGAGGAGGGACAUGCAAAUAGCAGGUCCCAGUUUCUUCAAAUAAACAGAUUCAGAAUCAGCAAGACAACCCUCUUCUGCCACUUGUCAUCCAAAGAAUGAUGAUCGUCAAGGGAGAGAGUCAGAAUUAUGUUCAGACUUCAAAUUAAAGAGAGGGAUUAUGAAAGAAGUCAAAUACAGACACGAAACUUCUACAGAUAGCUCCAUCAUCAUAAUCAUGUGUCCUAAAGAUGUUUCCAAAUCUGAACGUUCAAGUAAGCCUCAAGACGGUAGAGUAGCAUAUGGCCGCAAAACAGUUCACAGUCAGUCAAGAUUAUAUCGUGCUCAGCCAACCUGUCAAGAAAAACCAUAGGCAGACAAAUUCCCAAUAACAGAUUCAGGUCCCUUAAGGCGAAGGAGAUACAGCAGGACCUCUUCAUUGGUACGAAUAUCUUUAAGUAUGACUGGCAUCUCAGUUAGUUCUCAAUUUUCAUUACCUCUUUUGAUUGAUGACAGCACAAACGAUAUAGCCUUGCAAGUUAAGCAUUAACUAGAAGGAAAAUGAGUAAAA